GAUGAAGAACGCAGCGAAAUGCGAUAAGUAAUGUGAAUUGCAGAAUUCCGUGAAUCAUCGAAUCUUUGAACGCACAUUGCGCCCCCUGGCAUUCCGGGGGGCAUGCCUGUCCGAGCGUCAUUUCUGCCCUCAAGCACGGCUUGUGUGUUGGGUGCGGUCCCCCGGGACCUGCCCGAAAGGCAGCGGCGACGUCCGUCUGGUCCUCGAGCGUAUGGGGCUCUGUCACUCGCUCGGGAAGGACCUGCGGGGGUUGGUCACCACUAUAUUUUACCACGGUUGACCUCGGAUCAGGUAGGAGUUACCCGCUGAACUUAAGCAUAUCAAUAAGCGGAGGA
rnacentral:misc_RNA from 1 species